rnacentral:rRNA from 1 species
UACAGAGGGGGCAAGCGUUAUUCGGAAUUAUUGGGCGUAAAGGGCGCGUAGGCGGCUUGGCAAGUGGAUGGUGAAAUCCCUCGGCUUAACCGAGGAACUGCCGUCCAAACUGCUUCGCUUGAGACCGGGAGGGGUGAGUGGAAUUCCCAGUGUAGCGGUGAAAUGCGUAGAUAUUGGGAGGAACACCAGUGGCGAAGGCGGCUCACUGGACCGGUACUGACGCUGAUGCGCGAAAGCGUGGGGAGCAAACGGG